GGGUUGUGAGGUUAAGCGACCAAGCGUACACGGUGGAUGCCCUGGCAGUCAGAGGCGAUGAAGGACGUGCUAAUCUGCGAAAAGCGCCGGUAAGGUGAUAUGAACCGUUAUAACCGGCGAUGUCCGAAUGGGGAAACCCAGUGUGACUCGUCACACUAUCAUUAACUGAAUCCAUAGGUUAAUGAGGCGAACCGGGGGAACUGAAACAUCUAAGUACCCCGAGGAAAAGAAAUCAACCGAGAUUCCCCCAGUAGCGGCGAGCGAACGGGGAGGAGCCCAGAGCCUGAAUCAGCAUGUGUGUUAGUGGAAGCGUCUGGAAAGGCGCGCGAUACAGGGUGAGAGCCCCGUACACAAAAGCGCAUGUGCUGUGAGCUCGAUGAGUAGGGCGGGACACGUGGUAUCCUGUCUGAAUAUGGGGGGACCAUCCUCCAAGGCUAAAUACUCCUGACUGACCGAUAGUGAACCAGUACCGUGAGGGAAAGGCGAAAAGAACCCCGGCGAGGGGAGUGAAACAGAACCUGAAACCGUGUACGUACAAGCAGUGGGAGCCCCACCACCAAAGCGUUUCGCUUUGCGUGGUGCGCAAAAUGCGUAACGACAGCACGAUUACGAUUAACGGAGCGUAAGCGACGUUCAACACAAAAAUCAGGCAGUGGAGCGUUUUGGGGUGGGGUGACUGCGUACCUUUUGUAUAAUGGGUCAGCGACUUAUAUUCUGUAGCAAGGUUAACCGCAUAGGGGAGCCGGAGGGAAACCGAGUCUUAAUUGGGCGUUAAGUUGCAGGGUAUAGACCCGAAACCCGGUGAUCUAGCCAUGGGCAGGUUGAAGGUUGGGUAACACUAACUGGAGGACCGAACCGACUAAUGUUGAAAAAUUAGCGGAUGACCUGUGGCUGGGGGUGAAAGGCCAAUCAAACCGGGAGAUAGCUGGUUCUCCCCGAAAGCUAUUUAGGUAGCGCCUCGUGAAUUCAUCUCCGGGGGUAGAGCACUGUUUCGGCCAGGGGGCCAUCCCGGCUUACCAAUCCGAUGCAAACUGCGAAUACCGGAGAAUGUUAUCACGGGAGACACACGGCGGGUGCUAACGUCCGUCGUGAAGAGGGAAACAACCCAGACCGCCAGCUAAGGUCCCAAAGUCAUGGUUAAGUGGGAAACGAUGUGGGAAGGCCCAGACAGCCAGGAUGUUGGCUUAGAAGCAGCCAUCAUUUAAAGAAAGCGUAAUAGCUCACUGGUCGAGUCGGCCUGCGCGGAAGAUGUAACGGGGCUAAACCAUGCACCGAAGCUGCGGCAGCGACACUGAUGUGUUGUUGGGUAGGGGAGCGUUCUGUAAGCCGUUGAAGGUGUGUCGUGAGGCAUGCUGGAGGUAUCAGAAGUGCGAAUGCUGACAUAAGUAACGAUAAAGCGGGUGAAAAGCCCGCUCGCCGGAAGACCAAGGGUUCCUGUCCAACGUUAAUCGGGGCAGGGUGAGUCGACCCCUAAGGCGAGGCCGAAAGGCGUAGUCGAUGGGAAACGGGUUAAUAUUCCCGUACUUGGUGUUACUGCGAAGGGGGGACGGAGAAGGCUAUGUUGGCCGGGCGACGGUUGUCCCGGUUUAAGCGUGUAGGUGUGUGUUCCAGGUAAAUCCGGUUCACUUUAACACUGAGGCGUGAUGACGAGGCACUACGGUGCUGAAGCAACAAAUGCCCUGCUUCCAGGAAAAGCCUCUAAGCCUCAGGUAACAUCAAAUCGUACCCCAAACCGACACAGGUGGUCAGGUAGAGAAUACCAAGGCGCUUGAGAGAACUCGGGUGAAGGAACUAGGCAAAAUGGUGCCGUAACUUCGGGAGAAGGCACGCUGACACGUAGGUGAAGUGGUUUACCCAUGGAGCUGAAGUCAGUCGAAGAUACCAGCUGGCUGCAACUGUUUAUUAAAAACACAGCACUGUGCAAACACGAAAGUGGACGUAUACGGUGUGACGCCUGCCCGGUGCCGGAAGGUUAAUUGAUGGGGUCAGCGCAAGCGAAGCUCCUGAUCGAAGCCCCGGUAAACGGCGGCCGUAACUAUAACGGUCCUAAGGUAGCGAAAUUCCUUGUCGGGUAAGUUCCGACCUGCACGAAUGGCGUAAUGAUGGCCAGGCUGUCUCCACCCGGGACUCAGUGAAAUUGAACUCGCUGUGAAGAUGCAGUGUACCCGCGGCAAGACGGAAAGACCCCGUGAACCUUUACUAUAGCUUGACACUGAACACUGGUCCUUGAUGUGCAGGAUAGGUGGGAGGCUUUGAAGUGUGGACGCCAGUCUGCAUGGAGCCAUCCUUGAAAUACCACCCUUUAAUGGCUGGUGUUCUAACGUGGGCCCCUGACCGGGGUUGCGGACAGUGUCUGGUGGGUAGUUUGACUGGGGCGGUCUCCUCCUAAAGAGUAACGGAGGAGCACGAAGGUUGGCUAAUCCUGGUCGGACAUCAGGAGGUUAGUGCAAUGGCAUAAGCCAGCUUGACUGCGAGCGUGACGGCGCGAGCAGGUGCGAAAGCAGGUCAUAGUGAUCCGGUGGUUCUGAAUGGAAGGGCCAUCGCUCAACGGAUAAAAGGUACUCCGGGGAUAACAGGCUGAUACCGCCCAAGAGUUCAUAUCGACGGCGGUGUUUGGCACCUCGAUGUCGGCUCAUCACAUCCUGGGGCUGAAGUAGGUCCCAAGGGUAUGGCUGUUCGCCAUUUAAAGUGGUACGCGAGCUGGGUUUAGAACGUCGUGAGACAGUUCGGUCCCUAUCUGCCGUGGGCGCUGGAAGAUUGAGGGGGGCUGCUCCUAGUACGAGAGGACCGGAGUGGACGCAUCACUGGUGUUCGGGUUGUCAUGCCAAUGGCACUGCCCGGUAGCUACAUGCGGAAGAGAUAAGUGCUGAAAGCAUCUAAGCACGAAACUUGCCCCGAGAUGAAUCUUCCCUGAGCCUUUAAGGCUCCUGAAGGAACGUUGAAGACGACGACGUUGAUAGGCCGGGUGUGUAAGCGCAGCGAUGCGUUGAGCUAACCGGUACUAAUGAACCGUGAGGCUUAACCUUACAACGCCGAAGGUGUUU
rnacentral:rRNA from 1 species